UAUUGAAAAUAGCAAACCUAUUGAAAAGUAGGGACGCAAAGCUAUGGGUCUAAUGGAUGAAUUAUCAAUCCGAUGAUUGCCAGGUUGCCAAA
rnacentral:ncRNA from 1 species